CUCUCAAAAAUGAAAAACCCCAAGCCCCAAAAUAGAGAACCCCAAACCCAUCAUUCUCUCUCCCGUAAAACCACACCCCUGCUUGCUCUACUUCAGGCGGCUACAGCCUCGGCCGAAGUUUAGCCCCACCUUGCUGCUCGUCGGAGCUGUGCUAAUCGUCGGACCACGACCAUGGCGUCUGUCACAGUCUCUCUCUCUGACUCCUCACAUGGUUGCUGCACUUGCCAGAAUUGCGACGCACUACCUUCUUGUCGUAUGUACAUCUAGCAGAUCUUGAGUUGGCAGAAUUUGACAUUAAGAAGGCAUUGGAAAUUGAUCCUGACAACAGGGAUGUGAAACUGGAAUACAAGAAGUUGAAAGAGAAGAUUAGAGAAUACAAUAAAAAGGACGCACAAUUCUAUGGGAAAAUGUUCUCAAAGAUAGCUUGAGUCAAUAAAAUGUUUCCAAGGAGGCUGAUUGAUGGUCGACAAGUCAUACUACGUCUGAUUUGCGCCGAUUCGCCGCACCUGCGGCGGUGCAUUGUCUUGUCACCGAAACAUACCUCGCUUGUGUUGUUCGUCCGCGCUCCAAAUGAGCAGAUGUAAAACGUAGUACCUAUUCAUUCCGAUUUCUGAUUUCUUUUUAAAAUUUACAAAUAUCAAGCCCAAGUUAAGUUAUUGUUGUU